rfam:Xenopus laevis strain J chromosome 6L, whole genome shotgun sequence.
CCAGGCUCUAAUCCAAGCCAUAGUGGCCUCUCUAUAGCUGCCGUGGAUAGUGAAGAGCCAAUAGAAACGUUUCCUCGACGGUCGCUGGUCAGACCAUUGCGGGCUAAUCGGCAACAUAUCAGGAAGCGACAGUU